AUAAGCGGAGGAAAAGAAACCAACUGGGAUUGCCUCAGUAACGGCGAGUGAAGCGGCAAUAGCUCAAAUUUGAAAUCUGGCGCCUCUGGUGCCCGAGUUGUAAUUUGUAGAGGAUGCCUUGGUGUUGGCUGUGGGCCUAAGUUCCUUAGAACAGGACAUCAGAGAGGGUGAGAACCCCGUAUAUGGCCGCUAGCCUUCGCUGUGUAAGGUGCCUUCGACGAGUCGAGUUGUUUGGGAAUGCAGCUCUAAAUGGGAGGUAAAUUUCUUCUAAAGCUAAAUAUUGGCCAGAGACCGAUAGCGCACAAGUAGAGUGAUCGAAAGAUGAAAAGCACUUUGGAAAGAGAGUCAAAAAGCACGUGAAAUUGUUGAAAGGGAAGCGCUUGCAGCUAGACCUGCCUGUAGUUAUUCAUCUGGGCAUCUGCCCAGUGCACUUUUCUAUGGGUGGGCCAGCAUCAGUCUGGGCGGCUAGAUAAAGGCCUGGGGAAUGUGACUCCCUCUCGGGGGAGUGUUAUAGCCCAAGGCGUCAUGUAGCCAGCCCAGACUGAGGCCCGCGCCUUUGGCUAGGAUGCUGGCAUAAUGGCUGUAAGCGGCCCGUCUUGAAACACGGACCAAGGAGUCUAACAUCUGUGCGAGUGUUUGGGUGUCAAGCCCGGACGCGCAAUGAAAGUGAACGGAGGUGGGAACCUUCUGGGUGCACCAUCGACCGAUCCUGAAGUAUUCGGAAGGAUUUGAGUAAGAGCGCAGCUGUUGGGACCCGAAAGAUGGUGAACUAUGCUUGAAUAGGGUGAAGCCAGAGGAAACUCUGGUGGAGGCUCGCAGCGGUUCUGACGUGCAAAUCGAUCGUCAAAUUUGGGCAUAGGGGCGAAAGACUAAUCGAACUAUCUAGUAGCUGGUUCCUGCCGAAGUUUCCCUCAGGAUAGCAGUAACGUCGUCAGUUUUAUGAGGUAAAGCGAAUGAUUAGAGGCCUGGGGGUUGAAACAACCUUCACCUAUUCUCAAACUUUAAAUAUGUAAGAAGUCCUUGUUGCUUC
rnacentral:rRNA from 1 species